GCAAGUCGAACGGCAGCACGGGUGCUUGCACCUGGUGGCGAGUGGCGAACGGGUGAGUAAUACAUCGGAACGUACCUUAUCGUGGGGGAUAACGCAGCGAAAGUUGCGCUAAUACCGCAUACGCCCUGAGGGGGAAAGCGGGGGACCGUAAGGCCUCGCGCGAUUAGAGCGGCCGAUGUCUGAUUAGCUUGUUGGUGAGGUAAAAGCUCACCAAGGCGAUGAUCAGUAGCUGGUCUGAGAGGACGAUCAGCCACACUGGGACUGAGACACGGCCCAGACUCCUACGGGAGGCAGCAGUGGGGAAUUUUGGACAAUGGGGGCAACCCUGAUCCAGCAAUGCCGCGUGAGUGAAGAAGGCCUUCGGGUUGUAAAGCUCUUUUGUCAGGGAAGAAACAGCAGCUCUAACACAGUCUGCGAAUGACGGUACCUGAAGAAUAAGCACCGGCUAACUACGUGCCAGUAGCCGCGGUAAUACGUAGGGUGCGAGCGUUAAUCGGAAUUACUGGGCGUAAAGCGUGCGCAGGCGGUUAUACAAGACAGGCGUGAAAUCCCCGGGCUUAACCUGGGAAUGGCGUCUGUGACUGUAUAGCUAGAGUGUGUCAGAGGGGGGUGGAAUUCCACGUGUAGCAGUGAAAUGCGUAGAUAUGUGGAGGAACACCAAUGGCGAAGGCAGCCCCCUGGGAUAACACUGACGCUCAUGCACGAAAGCGUGGGGAGCAAACAGGAUUAGAUACCCUGGUAGUCCACGCCCUAAACGAUGCUGACUAGUUGUUGGGAAUUUACAUUCUCAGUAACGUAGCUAACGCGUGAAGUCAGCCGCCUGGGGAGUACGGUCGCAAGAUUAAAACUCAAAGGAAUUGACGGGGACCCGCACAAGCGGUGGAUGAUGUGGAUUAAUUCGGUGCAACGCGAAAAACCUUACCUACCCUUGACAUGUCACUAACGAAGUAGAGAUACAUUAGGU
rnacentral:rRNA from 1 species